UUUGCCAUCAGUAACAACUUAUAAAAAUUUCAAAAGCUUUGGUUGAAUGGUUCAUGAGAAAAUGCACGGACACGACUGGAAACACCAUUUUUUUCAAUCUUUCAAGAACCAUAACUCCUGAACGGUAAAAGUCAAAAUCGUCAUUAUUGAACUUGACCUCCAUUUUGUCAUCAGUAACAACAUAUUAAAAUUUGGGAAGCUUAGGUAGAACAUUUCAUGCGUAAAUGCACGGACACGACUGGAAACUCCAUUUUUCAAUCUUUCAAGAACCAUAACUCCUGAACGGUAAAAGUCAAAAUCGCCAUUAU
rnacentral:lncRNA from 1 species